UGGGGACGUUGCCGGGGCCCUGCGUUGCCCAGAGGUGCCACCUCUUUGAGCUGCAGCCGGGCGAGAAGAUCCGCAAGAUGAAGAAGCUGCGGAGAACUUGGUCGAGAGUUUCAGCCGCAUUGCUUUGAAGAAAGGUGACACCACCUUUGAUAAGAUGGAAAGCGUUCGCUGUCAAAAGGAAGAUGACCAUCUUUUACUGCCCAACGACAUCUUUCUACCAAUGUGAACAGAGACUAGCAGCACAGUGAUCACCUGCAGAUAGACCUGGCUUUAUCUGUACAUAACACCAAAAGAAAGAACCUGGAUUCCACAAGGAAAUAAAGAUUUUCAGUCCCUGCAAGAAUUC
rnacentral:lncRNA from 1 species